UACGUAGGGGGCAAGCGUUGUCCGGAAUCAUUGGGCGUAAAGCGCGCGUAGGCGGCCCGGUAAGUCCGUUGUGAAAGUCAAAGGCUCAACCUUUGAAUGCCGACGGAUACUGCCGGGCUAGAGUACGGAAGAGGCGAGUGGAAUUCCUGGUGUAGCGGUGGAAUGCGCAGAUAUCAGGAGGAACACCGGUGGCGAAGGCGGUUCUCUGGGCAUGUCCUGACGCUGAGGAGCGAAAGUGUGGGGAGCGAACAGG
rnacentral:rRNA from 1 species